rnacentral:rRNA from 1 species
AUACGGAGGAUCCGAGCGUUAUCCGGAUUUAUUGGGUUUAAAGGGUGCGCAGGCGGCCAUUUAAGUCAGCGGUUAAAUCGUGGGGCUCAACCCCAUUCUGCCGUUGAUACUGGGUGGCUUGAUUUCGGUCGAGGUUGGCGGAAUUCGUUGUGUAGCGGUGAAAUGCAUAGAUAUGACGAAGAACACCGAUUGCGUAGGCAGCUGACCAGACCGCAAAUGACGCUCAUGCACGAAAGUGCGGGGAUCGAACAGGAUUAGAUACCCUGGUAGUCCGCACAGUAAACGAUGAAUACUUGUUUUCGGCGAUAUAAUGUCGGAGGCAAAGCGAAAGCGAUAAGUAUUCCACCUGGGGAGUACGCCGGCAACGGUGAAACUCAAAUGAAUUGACGGGG